rnacentral:rRNA from 1 species
CUACGGGACGCAGCAGUGGGGAAUAUUGGACAAUGGACUAAAAGUCUGAUCCAGCAAUUCUGUGUGCACGAUGAAGGUCUUCGGAUUGUAAAGUGCUUUCAGGUGGGAAGAAGAAAGUGACGGUACCACCAGAAGAAGCGACGGCUAAAUACGUGCCAGCAGCCGCGGUAAUACGUAUGUCGCAAGCGUUAUCCGGAAUUAUUGGGCGUAAAGCGCGUCUAGGCGGCCUUUUAAGUCUGAUGUGAAAUUGCGGGGCUCAACUCCGUAUUGCGUUGGAAACUGGAAGGCUAGAGUAUCAGAGAGGUGGGCGGAACUACAAGUGUAGAGGUGAAAUUCGUAGAUAUUUGUAGGAAUGCCGAUGGGGAAGCCAGCUCACUGGAUGAAUACUGACGCUAAAGCGCGAAAGCGUGGGGAGCAAACGGGAUUAGAUACCCGCGUAGUC